rnacentral:piRNA from 1 species
UUUAUUGAAAUAGCGUUAGUA